rnacentral:rRNA from 1 species
UUGCACAAUUUGUUGACUUAGUGGCGGACGGGUGAGUAACGCGUGAGCGACCUACCUUAAAGAGGGGGACAACAGUUGGAAACGACUGCUAAUACCGCAUAAGACCACACUGCUGCAUGGCAGAGGGGUCAAAGGAGCAAUCCGCUUUAAGAUGGGCUCGCGUCUGAUUAGCUAGUUGGUGAGGUAACGGCUCACCAAGGCGACGAUCAGUAGCCGUACUGAGAGGUAGAACGGCCACAUUGGGACUGAGACACGGCCCAGACUCC